UUGGAAAUGGAAAUGGCAACCCACUCCAGUAUCCUUGCCUGGAGAAUCCUAUGGACAGAGGAGCCUGGCAGUCUAUAGUCCACGGGGUCGCAAAGAGUCAAACACAACAGAAACGGCUUAGCAUGCAUGAUGUUACGUAUCUACCGUUAUUAGCAUCUUACAGAAUAUUUUCUCUGCUCUAAAAAUCCUCUGUGCUUCGCCUAUUAAUCUCUCCCCCAACCUUACACAAAUUUCUUUUAGUUCCCAUCACAUACACAUUUCCAACGUGUUUUAUGUACUUACUUAUAUCUGUUGCCUGAAACAGCUUGAGAGAAGGGUUUGUGUCUUCUGCUCCUUUCAUGAGGCUCAUUGCACCUAGAAAAGGGCUGGAUAUCUUUGUUUAUCUACUGUUAACUAGUGAUCGUUCUCAGAAGAUCCUAAUAUUUGUACGCCCUAUGCUGCUGCUGCUGCUAAGUCACUUCAGUUGUGUCCAACUCUGUGCGACCCCAUAGACGGCAGCCCACCAGGCUCCCCCGUCCCUGGGAUACUCCAGGCAAGAACACUGGAGUGGGUUGCCAUUUCCUUCUCCAAUGCAUGAAAGUGAAAAGUGAAUGGGAAGUCACUCCUUCAUAUCCCACUCUUAGCAACCCCAUGGACUACAGCCUACCAGGCUCCUCUGUCCAUGGGAUUUUCCAGGCAAGAGUACUGGAGUGGGGUGCCAUUGCCUUCUCAUGCCCUAUGAGACAGUCAUAAGGUUAUUAUUUUUAAUGUCUGCAAAAGACUUUGAACUAUAUAAAGCAUGGGUUCAUAGUAUACACAGUGUUAUUGAUUUAAUAGUAAUGGUCCCAAAUGUUUAUGAUAUUCCUACUACAAUACUAUGAUUCUACCUUUCUGUUAUCUUUAACAAGAGAUAUCAUAACUCCACUGGGAAUGCUAAUAGUCAGUUCAGAUGGAAUUACCAAGAGCACCCAAGCAAGACAGGCUUAUCCUACAAGAGUAUCAUUUAUCACUUCUUUGUUUAGAGAUGGCUUUUCUUUUCCUGAAUUCCAUUUGUCACAUGGUAGGACUUCCCAUAGAAUCUCUGUGCUUCUGAAGAAUGAGGUUUUUAGUUACUCUGCUGGCUUUUGAAAUUGAUGACUCACCUGUACUUAAUAUGCUCCAUCUUUAGAAUCUGGGGCUGAGGUCACUCUGAGAAAGGCUGCCCAGUGAAAUCUCACACCACCAAAGUGGUCAGCAUGCUGAGAAUGGUAUGUCUUUGCUAAGUUUAGGAGGCAGCAAAGAGACAGGUUGCUCUCUGAUUAAAAUCAGGACCAGAUCUGAUCUUUGUUGAAUGUGAUGCUUCAGAAUCUCAUGUAUCCAGGAGUAUUGUUAGUAUUUUGGCAAAGAGCUUUGGCCGCUGAUUUUCAUUGUCAGGCAGAAUAUUUUUAGUGCUCCUAUUAGAAUCAGAAAUUUGCCUUCUCUGCAGUGAGAAUAAGAUACUCAUUGAUGCUAUAGGGGAGAAGGGUGAUUUUAUGAGAAAUGUAAAAAAAAUUAAUAAAGAAAAUGCCCUGUACAAUAAAUCUUUUAUUAUUUAUGACACUCUGGACAUUGGAAAAUACUAUACAGGAGUAGCAUGUGAAAGACACAGAGUUCUCCUAUAAAUGACUAUAGCCCGUAUUUUUUUUUUAGUGAAACUGAUCUCAUUUGUAAACAAAGUACAUCUUAAUAUCCAACUCACCUAUGUAAAUAUUUCUCAAUUAUUUAGAGUAUGUUCUCUGUUUUUCAGUGAAAUCAGAGUUUGUAUAGAUCACUGUAAUGAGAAAAAUGCAUUGAAUGGAGUAAGAUUUGGGGCAUAAUAGAUGUGAUUCCAGGAACGAUGUCAGAAUACUGACAGGUCAGAAGUUCAGAGGAGAGAGAAGGUCUAGACCUGUGGUAUCCCAAAGAGCUUUAUAUGAAGAAGAAAAUGUUUUGUAACUAUCCUGUCCUAUGUGGUAGCCACUAGCCAUAGUAUUUGAAAUAUGGCUAACAUGGCUGGAGAACUGAUAUUUAAACUUUAUUUAAUGUAAUUAAUUUAAAUAGCCACAUGUAAUGGUUGCAUCACAGAUAUGGGGCAACAAACAGGACCCUCACCUGGAGAGAUAGUAGUUGAAGCCAAGGGAUAGAGAAUAAAAGAAAAAGUCAAGUCCAAAGACAGACACUUCCUUAGAGAACAACUAUGAUUAAGACAGGGUACAAUAUGACAGUUCAAUGUAACUCAAAGUAAUUGCUUUGCAUAGUUAACUUCAUAAGGCCAUCAUUCGCAUGAAACCUAUACAGUGUACUUCACUGGAAGCCACUUCUUUGCUUUGUCUUAUCAUCCUGAUACACUGCAAGGCAUGGAUAUAUUUACGUAUCUAAUCCAAUUGCAAACAGAAAUUAAUAAUAGAUAUUGCUAAAUAAAUUACUGCAUGGCAAACUGAAAAAAAAAAAAAAAGAUGGGGAGAGAGAAAAGAACUGGCCAAAAAGGAAGAGAGGGCAUGAUUAAAGUUAAAGCAAGACAGACCUCAACCACCUGAACCUGAUGCCUUGUGGGUGCCAAGGAGAGCACUUCAGGAAGAAGACUUACAGAGCAGACCUUUCUUGAGCCAUCUUUCAAAAAGUGCAGCUUUAAAGGAAUGGUGAGUGUUGGUGUCAGAUUGCUGGUGUCUGACCAGCAAAGUGCUCGGGCCAACUUUACUCUUGAGAAGUUCGUGGAUAGGGAAAGACGGCGGAGCUGGCUAUGAGGGGAGAGUAGGGGUGUGGGGAGGCUUACUGUAUGUUUUGGUCUGUCUUGGAAGGGAACACCUGAACAGGUUUGUAGGUGCUAGACACAGAUGUCUUCCCCAAUCAUUCCCCCUCACCUCGUCCCUUGCUCCCUUGAUUCAUAACUCCUGGAUGCUCUGAUCUCUCUAACUUACACAAUGGAGGUCUUCUCAAGUUUUCUCCAUCCUCCCCCAUCCCCACCUUCCCUUUCUCCCCUUCCCCUUCA